UAAGACGUAGGGCGCGAGCGUUGUCCGGAUUUAUUGGGCGUAAAGAGCUCGUAGGCGGCUUGUCGCGUCGUCUGUGAAAUCCCGCGGCUCAACUGCGGGUCUGCAGGCGAUACGGGCAGGCUAGAGUUCGGUAGGGGAGACUGGAAUUCCUGGUGUAGCGGUGAAAUGCGCAGAUAUCAGGAGGAACACCGGUGGCGAAGGCGGGUCUCUGGGCCGAUACUGACGCUGAGGAGCGAAAGCGUGGGGAGCGAACAGGAUUAGAUACCCUGGUAGUCCACGCUGUAAACGUUGGGCGCUAGGUGUGGGGGGCCUCUCCGGUUCUCUGUGCCGCAGCUAACGCAUUAAGCGCCCCGCCUGGGGAGUACGGCCGCAAGGCUA
rnacentral:rRNA from 1 species